UACGGAGGGUGCGAGCGUUGUCCGGAAUCACUGGGCGUAAAGGGCGCGUAGGCGGCGCGGAUAGUCGGCGGUGAAAGCCCGGAGCUCAACUCCGGGUCGGCCGUCGAUACUUCCGGGCUUGAGCACUGUAGAGGCAGAUGGAAUUCCGGGUGUAGCGGUGGAAUGCGUAGAGAUCCGUAAGAACACCGGUGGCGAAGGCGGUCUGCUGGGCAGUUGCUGACGCUGAUGCGCGACAGCGUGGGGAGCAAACAGG
rnacentral:rRNA from 1 species